ACGACCUUACUUGAACAGGAUCUGUUCUAUAGGCUCGUACCACUGUAUCCUUGAUUUCUAAGGAGACAGGAAACCAAGUCUGGUUGAUGAGACAUGGCCAUUAGAUUAGAGCGUGAUUAACAAUCUCCGUGGCCUAUGGGUCAUGGAGCUGUAGAGGAUCGUUCCCAGCACGGUGCUGGGAUGGUCUAAUGGCUGUCUGACAGACU